rnacentral:tRNA from 1 species
GCCUGCGUGGUUCAGUUGGUUGAGCGUCUGACUUCGGCUCAGGUUAUGAUCUCACGGUUCGUGGGUUUGAGCCCCACAUCGGGCU